UACGCAGGGUCCGAGCGUUGUCCGGAAUUACUGGGCGUAAAGAGCUCGUAGGUGGUUUGUCGCGUUGUUCGUGAAAACUCACAGCUUAACUGUGGGCGUGCGGGCGAUACGGGCAGACUUGAGUACUGCAGGGGAGACUGGAAUUCCUGGUGUAGCGGUGGAAUGCGCAGAUAUCAGGAGGAACACCGGUGGCGAAGGCGGGUCUCUGGGCAGUAACUGACGCUGAGGAGCGAAAGCGUGGGGAGCGAACAGG
rnacentral:rRNA from 1 species